rnacentral:rRNA from 1 species
GACGAACGCUGGCGGCGUGCUUAACACAUGCAAGUCGAACGGUAAGGCCCUUCGGGGUACACGAGUGGCGAACGGGUGAGUAACACGUGGGUGAUCUGCCCUGCACUUCGGGAUAAGCCUGGGAACCUGGGUCUAAUACCGGAUAGGACCACUGCCUGCAUGGGUGGUGGUGGAAAGCUUUUGCGGUGUGGGAUGGGCCCGCGGCCUAUCAGCUUGUUGGUGGGGUGAUGGCCUACCAAGGCGACGACGGGUAGCCGGCCUGAGAGGGGGACCGGCCACACUGGGACUGAGAUACGGCCCAGAUUCCUACGGGAGGCAGCAGUGGGGAAUAUUGCACAAUGGGCGCAAGCCUGAUGCAGCGACGCCGCGUGAGGGAUGACGGCCUUCGGGUUGUAAACCUCUUUCAGCACCGACGAAGCGCAAGUGACGGUAGGUGCAGAAGAAGGACCGGCCAACUACGUGCCAGCCGCCGCCGUAA